rnacentral:rRNA from 1 species
AUUGAACGCUGGCGGCAGGCCUAACACAUGCAAGUCGAACGAGUGUCGGACGGGUGAGUGAUGUCUGGGAAACUGCCCGAUGGGGGGGGAUAACUCCUGGAAACGGUAGCUAAUACCGCAUACCAUCGGAUGUGCCCACAUGGGGUUAGCGAGUAGGUGGGGUAACGGCUCACCCAGGCGACGCUCCCUAGCUGGUCUGAGAGGAUGACAAGCCACACUGGAACUGAGACACGGUCCAGACUCCUACGGGAGGCAGCAGUGGGGAAUAUUGCACAAUGGGCGCAAGCCUGAUGCAGCCAUGCCGCGUGUAUGAAGAAGGCCUUCGGGUUGUAAAGUACUUUCAGCGAGGAGGCGUUACUCGCAGAAGAAGCACCGGCUAACUCCGUGCCAGCAGCCGCGGUAAUUC